UGGAAUGGGCGCUCUCAGGGAAGC
rnacentral:miRNA from 1 species